rnacentral:misc_RNA from 1 species
GGAAUCUUCCGCAAUGGGCGAAAGCCUGCCGGAGCAACGCCGCGUGAGUGAUGAAGGUUUUCGGAUCGUAAAGCUCUGUUGCCAGGGAAGAACGUCUUGUAGAGUAACUGCUACAAGAGUGACGGUACCUGAGAAGAAAGCCCCGGCUAACUACGUGCCAGCAGCCGCGGUAAUACGUAGGGGGCAAGCGUUGUCCGGAAUUAUUGGGCGUAAAGCGCGCGCAGGCGGCUCUUUAAGUCUGGUGUUUAAUCCCGAGGCUCAACUUCGGGUCGCACUGGAAACUGGAGAGCUUGAGUGCAGAAGAGGAGAGUGGAAUUCCACGUGUAGCGGUGAAAUGCGUAGAGAUGUGGAGGAACACCAGUGGCGAAGGCGACUCUCUGGGCUGUAACUGACGCUGAGGCGCUAAAGCGUGGGGAGCAAACAGGA